GGAAGUAAAAGACGUAACAAGGUUUCCGUAGGUGAACCUGCGGAAGGAUCAUUAUUGUAUAACCGAGGUGCGAGGGCUGUCGCUGACCCGAAAGGUCGUGCACGCCCGAGUGCUCUCACACACAUCCAUCUCACCCCUAUGUGCACCACCGCGUGGGUCCCCCUUUGGCUUGUUCGGAGGGGGGCUUACGUUUUCACACAAACUUUGUAUGCAGUGUAGAAUGUAUUUUUUGUUUUUGCGAUCACGCAAUCAAUACAACUUUCAACAACGGAUCUCUUGGCUCUC
rnacentral:misc_RNA from 1 species